rnacentral:rRNA from 1 species
AUUGAACGCUGGCGGCAGGCUUAACACAUGCAAGUCGAGCGAGCGGCGGACGGGUGAGUAAUGUCUGGGAAACUGCCUGAUGGAGGGGGAUAACUACUGGAAACCGGAGCUAAUACCGUAUUCUUAUAGAUGGAUCCGCGCUGCAUUAGCUAGUUGGUAAGGUAACGGCUUACCAAGGCAACGAUCCCUAGCUGGUCUGAGAGGAUGACCAGCCACACUGGAACUGAGACACGGUCCAGACUCCUACGGGAGGCAGCAGUGGGGAAUAUUGCACAAUGGGCGCAAGCCUGAUGCAGCCAUGCCGCGUGUGUGAAGAAGGCCUUCGGGUUGUAAAGCACUUUCAGCGAGGAGGCGUUACUCGCAGAAGAAGCACCGGCUAACUCCGUGCCAGCAGCCGCGGUAAUUC